AUCUUUUUUAUUUGGUUAUUCCCUUCCUGAAAAGUUCACAUGCUUUGUCUCCAUCAUUUAAGUUCCACUUUGAGUAUUAGGAAAUGAAACUCAUUGAUAAACUGAGAUAUUGGUCAUAUGUUGAGGAAAGUAUUCUGCAUCAAAAAUACAGAAUAAAUUGGCUUUCUUUCGGAGAUUCUAUCUCCAAAUUCUUCUUCACAACUGUAAAGAUUCGAAAAGCUGCUUGAUAUUUAUCACAAGUGAUCAGAUUAGAAGCAACUAUAUUGAUGUUUCAAAUUUCUAGGAGGAAAGCUGAAAUAUUGUUUGCCAUAUUAAAGUUUAUGUGUGACCAACUGCACCUUUUUUGGGCCCAGCUAGCUCAUGAAGUGGUCCGCUCUAUUGCUGGUGAGUGACAUGGAAUUUUACGAAGCGACUUCUACUUUUUUGAGGGGUGGCUUGAUGAGCUUUGACCCACAAAUUGGAUGACGUUGCACCUGAAACCACCUACUGCACCUGAGACCCAAAAAUUAUCCCAGCAACCAUCAAAUAAUAUCACCCCCAUUAGCAUUACAAAGAAAUUAGCCAACAAAAUACAUCAGCUUUAACAGAUAAACCAAACUCUAUAUGUAGUCUCUAGCUAAUGUCCAAUUCACUAGCUAAAUCUCUGGUCAUGUAGAUACAAGCUUCCUUCUCCAUCAUGUUUCCUAGCUAGAGAACAUACACUUUCCUUUUUCAAAUUCUAUGGCUGAGUUCAGAUGGAACCUAGACUUGUUAAAAAACUCUCCAACAUCUAUUCGAUCCAAGAAUAAAAGUCAUAAAGUUAAUGGUUGAUCUCAUAGAUUUUCAAUUUCAGAUCUCCAAUACAUAUUUGACCUGUACAUAUAAUAACUGAAAAGCACAAAUCCUAGGUUUUACACCUGCUUGUACCCUCCCCCACAUCUUCAUAACCUAUGAAACAUUGAUAUUUUGAAGAUAGCUUUCUGUAGUUAAAAAUCACGUCUUCCAAAGGAGAUUAAAAAUUCAUAGUCCUUUCAGGAAAAAAAAAAGCAGCCCUGCAAUAGAAUGCAGAUAGAAAGUAGCCUAGAAUCUCAAAUUUAGAGAUUUGCUGAUAGUAAAGGAAUUGUGUUUUCUUAUUUACUUUAGAGAACUAAAGAAUCAACAGGACAGGAAGCUCUAUAAAUGCAUGACCCAAGCUGAAGGAUAUGCAAUUCCUGUUAUGAUGAAAGAAACAUAGAAAUUCAAAGAUCCUAUUUGGUUCUCACACUUAAUAAAGCAUAAGCAAUUAAUUAACAUGAUAUAACAUGAAACCCCUUGUGUAGCCGCAGUUCCCUAAACAAUCAGACCCUCCUGUGCAAGAGACAUAACAAAUAUAUUCUAGUAAUUCCUGCAGAAUUUUCCUGUUGUGCUUCUAGUAAUUCCUGAGAUUUGAAUAAAGAUGGACGGAGUUCUUGCCGUGCUUCUAGUAAUUCCGAGUGUCACAAAGAUGCUGGUUCAUUUCUAGCAAAAGAACUUUGAGCAAUUAAUUAACAUGAUAUAGCUAUUACCUGCAGAAAUGAUGAGAGCUUGAGCAGUAUAGUUAAGGUUGGACUUCACCCAUGGAAUGACACGGCAACCAACUAGGUGCAGUAUUGAAAUAGAGACAGUAUUAGCAUGUAGUCUCUGCCAAAAGAAGAUUAGCAGAAACAUAUCCACAAGUAUCAACUCAAAAGCCCCAUAUCUUCCACCUCACUGCUGAAACAUUGUUCCACCAGCCAGUGAGUGCAUCUUAUUAGCCACCACCACCAUGGGGCUAUGUCAUCAAUAACUAUAGCACCACCAAAGCCUUUUUCUAAAUUCUAAGCAUCUCUUAUGGAAUUUCCACUAGACUUGUACAUAUCUGGGGAAUAAGAAGAAGAAUAGCAGUUGGCAAUAAUGUAAUGCAUUUAGCACGUACCAUCGAAAAGAUAUCAAGAAGAUUAAAAAGAAUCCCGAAAUUAGAUGGAAUCAAAUAGAGUGCCCUUGCCAACCGCCUGGUACUUUAGACUGUGGAUAUUAUGUGUGCCGCUACAUGCUUGAGACGGUACAGUUGAGACGAUUAGUUAAUCCUGAUAAGUACUAUCAAGGCAUUGGUGAACAUAUUCUCAGGAGAAAAUUGAUGAACUGAGAGAGUUAUGGAUUACAUAUGUCGGAGAUCAACACGAAGCACAAAUGAUGAAUGAGUUCUAACUUUUCGCCUAAUUUUUUUUAACCUUAAUCCACAUUUGGACAUACAUUAUAUUUUUGGAUUUGGAUAUUGAUAUCAUGUGGAUGUGGCUAUAGGAUAGAUUUGAUCUUGUUUAUGAUUUAGAUUAAUAUUAAUAUGUAUAUAUAGUAGUUUUUUAAAAGUUUAGAUUUAUGAAUAUUAGUUGAAUUAUUUUGUAAUAUAAAGAAUUUUGGAAGUUUGGAAUAUCAAUUCAAUUUAUUGGUUGUAA